AUGCUGCAAACUCGCUUUCAUGCCUCUUUGUUUGGGAAGCGUGUUGUUGUGUUCGGAUGUGGACCGGCGGAUUCAUAUGAAACAUUUCUUCAACAGAUCAUGAAAGUGUUGAAAACGAUAUGUUUCCAGCGUUUGUCCCUGGACUCGUGUCAUCACAUCUCUCCACAGCUGCAGAUGGUGACAGCUUUCCCCUCAGCUCCUCCGAGGAUCAUUUGUAUUGAUGUAUUCGGACCGUUGCUCCCUCUCCAAGUGCCGUUUUGUUUGUCCCGUCGGCCCAUGAAUUUUAAGCGCGGUAAGUAACUCACUCUUGUCAACAGAUCUGUUUAUUGGCUUCAGAAUUAUUCAUAAAGUGCCAGCAGUCACGAGCGACCGGUCGUUUGGGUCAAUCUGAAGGAUCUGUGUCACAUUACGUAUUCCAGAAAUGUUAAAAUGCCAUCACUAUAUGUCUCCCUUAAGGCUUCGGGAAAAGGCCAAGUUUCAUGAGAGCAGGACGACUGGGAAAAUAGAGAGAGCUACGAGACGUUACCGGGGAUAAGCAUCCAUUAACAUUUCUGAUAAACUGAUGCAAUGUUAUUCAGAGGUCUAUUGAAGAAAUUGCUAGUUACAAGCAAACAUGGAAGUACUUCGUUCAGAUUGAGUAAAAAAAUAAGCAAAAAGUGCUGUGCGAAGUGUUUAAACCAUUUCCAAACGAUUGGAGAUUUGGUUUUCUGUGAUUUUUCCUGGAUUAUCAAUUUCAAAUAUAUCAAGUAAUUUAUAUAUAUAUAUAAAUAGUGUGUGUGUGUGUGUGUGUGUGUGUGUGUGCACUGUUUGAGAUUGACUGGAUCUGUGAAUAAUCCUGAUGUACGGUUGCUGCUGUCGUUGUACGAGGUCAUGAUCAUUCAGCUCAUAAUGAGAUGAAAAGUUCAUAAUGUUUCAUUCUAGGGUCUUCAGAUCAACUUUUGAGCGUCUGUCUUCUUCAAUUCAGCAUAACAGGGAUGUUCUUGUUGGUAAGUCAGUGUCAAGGUCAUGGGUUUGAAUCCUCAGGGACUGCAUGCACUGAUAAAAACAGAUCAUCUUUAGAUGCAUUCUGAUUUGUGAUUAAAGGGAUCUUUUGUGGUGUUUUGCAGCCUCAUCUGUUCUGGACCGAACACGCUGUGGUUGGCCACGUUCCC
rnacentral:lncRNA from 1 species